UAGCAACCCACUUGAACUGUCAAUCGAUCGAUAGGUAAUCAAUUAACACCUUCAUUCGCUCAACCUUCCAGGAAGAAAAUGCUGAAAAUAAUCCUACAAACGCUAGCCGAGUUCGGCUUCGAAGCCAUCCCGAUCCGAAGACUCUACGCCGAUAUUCGCAACACUCCUGCAGUUCGCUCUGUCUCUCCGGAUCAACGAAGCGCCGUUUUUAUGCAAACCUUGCACGAAGCACACGCGAUGGACUGGGUGCGAUUUCGGGAUUACAGCCGGGUCAAGCUACAUGAGUAUGGAAUGGUAACCGAGGCAAUCCGACUACUGGAACACGCUUCAUAUCGCGGCUACGAUCGGUUGCGAAGUAGAUGGCACAAGAUUCGGCGUAGAGGUGCAUUGUACCGGCCACGUUCGGCUCGGGCUAGAUCCCGAAGUGUGGCUGGUAGGAGACGUCACUAGAACGCGAAACCCAUUUCCGUAACAUCUAAGCAAGCGUAGGUAAUCGCAAGGCAUCAGUUAUGUUAUCCACAAUUUUGUCCAUGCUGUUUGACAGCUACGUACCAGUUCCUAUUAUCGGUUUGUAUGCUCAAGUUUGCCAUAGUUUAGAGGGUCAACUGCUGUCACCGGAGGUGCGCCGGGUCAGAUUCUAUCGGGUGCUGAGGGACGCCCGCAAUUGCCGCUUGGUGGCAGUCCGGUACGGACACGUCCAGCUAAGCAGGAGAUUCGUUGGUUUCGCCAAUCGAGUCCUGAACUAUGCAGACUCUCGCAAGUGGAUGCCUGGACGUGGAGCAAGAUCUCGUUGGACAGCAGCGGUACGUAGCUGGCCACGUUCUCUGUCAAGAUUCCGGUCUCGGGCAACGAACGGAAGGAACCGAAGAAUUUUCGAGUGGUUCGAGUGAAGUUGUUUUAUGGGAAUUUAUUUAUUAGAUUUUAAAUCGUUUUGAUAUGUAGAAAUUUGUCUCGAGGUAAUAU